CGCUGGCGGCGUGCCUAAUACAUGCAAGUCGAACGGCUUUUCUAUGGAAGCUUGCUUCCACUGAGAAGAUAGUGGCGAACGGGUGAGUAACACGUGGGUAACCUGCCCAUAAGAGGGGGAUAACAUCCGGAAACGGGUGCUAAUACCGCAUAGUUUUCUUGAUCGCAUGAUUGAGAAAGGAAAGACGGCCUUUGUGCUGUCGCUUAUGGAUGGACCCGCGGCGUAUUAGUUAGUUGGUGAGGUAAUGGCUCACCAAGACGAUGAUACGUAGCCGACCUGAGAGGGUGAUCGGCCACAUUGGGACUGAGACACGGCCCAAACUCCUACGGGAGGCAGCAGUAGGGAAUCUUCCGCAAUGGACGAAAGUCUGACGGAGCAACGCCGCGUGAGUGAAGAAAGGUUUUCGGAUCGUAAAACUCUGUUGUCAGAGAAGAACAAGUUGGAGAGUAACUGCUCCAGCCUUGACGGUAUCUGACCAGAAAGCCACGGCUAACUACGUGCCAGCCGCCGC
rnacentral:rRNA from 1 species